CUACGGGAUGCACCAGUGGGGAAUAUUGCACAAUGGGCGCAAGCCUGAUGCAGCCAUGCCGCGUGUAUGAAGAAGGCCUUCGGGUUGUAAAGUACUUUCAGCGGGGAGGAAGGGAGUAAAGUUAAUACCUUUGCUCAUUGACGUUACCCGCAGAAGAAGCACCGGCUAACUCCGUGCCAGCAGCCGCGGUAAUACGGAGGGUGCAAGCGUUAAUCGGAAUUACUGGGCGUAACGCGCACGCAGGCGGUUUGUUAAGUCAGAUGUGAAAUCCCCGGGCUCAACCUGGGAACUGCAUCUGAUACUGGCAAGCUUGAGUCUCGUAGAGGGGGGUAGAAUUCCAGGUGUAGCGGUGAAAUGCGUAGAGAUCUGGAGGAAUACCGGUGGCGAAGGCGGCCCCCUGGACGAAGACUGACGCUCAGGUGCGAAAGCGUGGGGAGCAAACAGGAUUAGAUACCCCCGUAGUC
rnacentral:rRNA from 1 species